rnacentral:lncRNA from 1 species
GGAGGGGGGGUGAGAGAAACAAAUGGCAAGGAAUGGAGAAUAAAUGCCGGUCACAGGUCUAGCGACGAAAUAGAGUCUUAAGCAGGACUCGUAGAACUCGUCAACUCCGGUGUUCAUGCAAACAAAGAAAACAGAAAAAAGAAGUUAGAGGAGAAAUCUGAUUCUUGAAUAGUGUCUAAGAGAGGAUAAUAGUCAUUUGAAAGUUCUAUUAAUCGUCUCUAGGAACAUGUUACAAAUUAUUCCCAUAAAUAUAUCUCUAAAGAUAAUGCAACAGAAAGAGAAAGCGACUAGGAUUAUUGUUUCACUGUUACUAUAUCAAAUCAUAGUUCAAGAUAGUAGUUGAUCAUUUGUUAAUAGAUACAAUUUCUGUACAUACUAGCAUAUCUAAGUCUAAACCAAAAGUAGUCAAUUUAUUAUUUUUAGACAAGGUAUUAGUAUGAGAUAGAUUUUAAAUCUAGCAGAACAUAGAGUUGUACUCCAUUUAUAUAUUACGAUCAGAUUUUCAACAACCUAAAGAAAGAUUAUUAUAUCACAGUAGUACCUAAAAUCUAUUAGUACAUUGUAAUAUAACUACAGAUAAGAAAUAUCUAACUCAUUAUUUCCUAAACCAAUCACAGAUGCUUAAUUAAGUAUGCCAGAGGUGAGACGGAUUUGAUUUUACCUUGUGUGGUGCAGUGAACUAGGGGCGUUAUCAGCCUCGAAUCUAUAUUCUGGAACACUUUGGAGUACCUCUGUUGUCGUCCAACAGAAUCAAGGAGAUAUCAGAAACUCUUUUCUUAAA